rnacentral:rRNA from 1 species
GAAAAUGAGAGUUUGAUCCUGGCUCAGGACGAACGCUGGCGGCGUGCCUAAUACAUGCAAGUCGAGCGAGCUUGCCUAGAUGAAUUUGGUGCUUGCACCAGAUGAAACUAGAUACAAGCGAGCGGCGGACGGGUGAGUAACACGUGGGUAACCUGCCUAAGAGACUGGGAUAACACCUGGAAACAGAUGCUAAUACCGGAUAACAACACUAGACGCAUGUCUAGAGUUUAAAAGAUGGUUCUGCUAUCACUCUUGGAUGGACCUGCGGUGCAUUAGCUAGUUGGUAAGGCAACGGCUUACCAAGGCAAUGAUGCAUAGCCGAGUUGAGAGACUGAUCGGCCACAUUGGGACUGAGACACGGCCCAAACUCCUACGGGAGGCAGCAGUAGGGAAUCUUCCACAAUGGAC